AACGGGGAGGACCAGCCAAGCCCUAGGGGCGGCCCCGGAAGUGACGCAGAGACGCGCCUUCCAUUUUGUGGACAGCCGGAGCCACUAAGUGCGUCAGUUUUGGAAAGACGUAGACGAGUUGUGUUCUGGUCUGCGGGGAGGUAGACGGCUUUGUCGCAGACUACGGACCUUUCUGGGUCUCAGCCGCCAAAGAUCCUGUCCGGUAGGGCACACACUAGCCGGAGGCCAUGAGUGGCUGUCGAGUGUUCAUCGGGAGAUUAAAUCCAGCGGCGAGGGAGAAAGACGUCGAAAGAUUCUUCAAGGGUUAUGGACGGAUCAGGGAUAUUGAUCUGAAAAGGGGGUUUGGUUUUGUGGAAUUUGAGGAUCCGAGGGAUGCAGAUGAUGCUGUAUAUGAACUUGAUGGAAAAGAACUUUGUAGUGAAAGGGUUACUAUUGAACAUGCUAGGGCUCGGUCUCGAGGAGGAAGAGGUAGAGGACGCUACUCUGAUCGUUUUAGUAGUCGCAGACCUCGAAAUGAUAGACGAAAUGCUCCACCUGUCAGAACAGAAAAUCGACUUAUAGUUGAGAAUUUAUCCUCCAGAGUCAGCUGGCAGGUUUGUUGAAAAUAGUUUUGAGUUAUUUAAAUGUGGCUUUAAAAUUUUUUAAUGGGCAAUUAAUGUUUUAUUAAUAUAUUUUAUUAAAUGUAGUUUAUAUUUAAUUAAAUUAAUGAAUUUAAUUGAAUUAUAAUUUUAAAUUUUAAUUAAAUGUAACUGGGGGAUGUUUCAAAUGUUAAUAUUAGUGAUCAAAUGUAAAUGUUUUGAGGAUAUUUUUUCAUGUUCUUUAAAAUCAAUUUUAACCAAAUAUUGAACCCUUUAUUUGCCAGCCUAUCUGUGUCGUUGGCCUUAUGACGAGGAGUGCCUGUGGGUUAUCCUAAUCGUUGUCUUGGUCACUCUUGGUUGGGCCUGGUUGACUUUGCCAGUCAGCUCCUACAGUGAUCAAUUGGCCACCUCUAGAUCUGUGUUUGCCGGUCUAGACGUAAUCGGUGCACUUUCUUGAAGUGCCGGGUUGCAGCGAUCCCAGAGCCUUGAUAACGUGAUCUGAUCCCUAAGUUGAGAGCUGUCUUCUGUAACGCUUCCGAAUAAGAGGUCCUGGUCGAAAGAGUUGAAAAGAUACGAAAUUAGUUGGUCGUUGGAAUCCUGAUCGCAGUAAAGUGUUCCUUGGUAACUGCACAAGAGUAGAACAUGUCUGCAUCGCCAGUAGUCUGCUAAUAGGGAGGGCUGUGCGAUAAAGGCUUCCACGAUUGGGUAGUAUCCAUCAAGUGGGUGGCGAAGAGCCAGUCGGGCAUUUGUCAUGAAGGUUUCUCCGACCGAUUAAUGGUUUGCUGCUUGACUAGCCUAGGGAAAUAUUAAUAAAGGUAAUGUAAAAUUUUUUAAUGACAUCUGGGGCACAAAAUAACUGGUGUCUUGUAAAUGUUCUGUUUUUUAAAUAUAAAACUUCUACUUUAGUCCUUACUUUAAAAAUAUGUACUGUUUCUUUUUGUUUUGUUUUUUGUUUGUUUGUUUUUUUUCUUUGUACUGAGCUCAGUAUAGACUAAUACUACUUUAAUGUUAAAAGUCUCUAUUUCCUCUAGCAUUUUGCUUAAAAGCAAUAUGCUAUUUGCUUAUUUCGUGCCCUGACAUAAUUUUGAUUUCUGAUAGAAUACAAGUGUGGUAUAUGCCAUGUUUGUACUUUAUCUAACAACUUCUCUUUCAGUAGUCUUGUUUUUAUACCAUGUGAUUGUUUGUGUGUCACUUUUUCCUCUUCCCUGCUUGAAACAAUUGUCUUGUGUUAAGGAUCUCAAAGAUUUCAUGAGACAAGCUGGGGAAGUAACCUUUGCGGAUGCACAUCGACCUAAAUUAAAUGAAGGGGUGGUUGAGUUUGCCUCUUAUGGUGACUUAAAGAAUGCUAUUGAAAAACUUUCUGGAAAGGAAAUAAAUGGGAGAAAAAUAAAAUUAAUUGAAGGCAGCAAAA